rnacentral:rRNA from 1 species
CAGCAGCCGCGGUAAUACAGAGGGUGCAAGCGUUAAUCGGAAUUAUUGGGCGUAAAGGGUGCGUAGGUGGUCAUUUAAGUCAGAUGUGAAAUCCCAGGGCUUAACCUUGGAAUUGCAUUUGAUACUGGGUGGCUAGAGUACAGAAGAGGGAAGUGGAAUUUCCGGUGUAGCGGUGAAAUGCGUAGAUAUCGGAAGGAACAUCAGUGGCGAAGGCGACUUCCUGGUCUGUAACUGACACUGAGGCACGAAAGCGUGGGGAGCAAACAGGAUUAGAUACCCGCGUAGUCCCUGUCUCUUAUAA